rnacentral:rRNA from 1 species
UACGUAGGGGCCUAGCGUUGUCCGGAUUUAUUGGGCGUAAAGAGCUCGUAGGCGGUUCGGUAAGUCAGGUGUGAAAUCUCCACGCUCAACGUGGAGGCGCCACCUGAAACUGCCGUGACUCGAGUCCGGUAGGGGAGUGUGGAAUUCCCGGUGUGAGCGGUGAAAUGCGCAGAUAUUGGGAAGAACACCCGUGGCGAAGGCGGUUCUCUGGGACGGUACUGGACGCUGAGACGCGAAAGCGUGGGGAGCGAACAGG